ensembl:lncRNA
CUUCACGACUGUUUUGGUGUGCUUGGACCAUGUUAGUUUGUUGGUGAUGUGCACACCAAGGAACUUGAAGCUCUCAACCUGCUCCACUACAGCCCCGUCAAUGGGAAUGGGGGCGUGCUCGGUCCUUUUUUUCCCCUGUAGUCCCCAAUCAUCUCCUCUGUCCUGAUCACAUUGAGGGAGAGGUUGUUGUCCUGGCACCACACGGCCAGGUGCCUGACCUCCUCCCUAUAGGCUGCCUCGUCAUUGUCGGUGAAGAGGCCUACCGCUGUUGUGUCAUCGGCAAAUUUAAUGAUGGUAUUGGAGUCGUGCCUGGCCGUACAGUCAUGAGUGAACAGGGAGUACAGGAGGGGACUGAGCACGCACCCUUGAGGGGCCCCCCGUGUUGAGGAUCAGCAUGGCAGAUGUGUUGUUACCUACCCUCACCACCUGGGGGCGGCCCGCCAGGAAGUCCAGGAUCCAGUUGCGGAGGGAGGUGUUUAGUCCCAGGGUCCUUAGCUUAUUGAUGAGCUUUGAGGGCACUAUGGUGUUGAACGCUGAGCUGGAGUCAAUGAACAACAUUCUCACGUAGCUGUUCCUUUUGUCCAGGUGGGAAAGGGCACUGUGGAGUGCAAUAGAGAUUGCAUCAUCUGUGGAUCUGUUGGGGCGGUAUGCAAAUUUGAGUGGGUCUAGGGUUUCUGGGAUGAUGGUGUUGAUGUGAGCCAUGACCAGCAUGUGGAGGCACUUCAUGGCUACAGACGUGAGUGCUACGGGUCGGUAGUCAUUUAGGCAGGUUACCUUAGUGUUCUUGGGCAUAGGGACUAUGGUGGUCUGCUUAAAACAUGUUGGUAUUACAGAUUCGGACAGUGAGAGGUUGAAAAUGUCAGUGAAGACACUUGCCAGUUGGUCAGUGCAUGCUCGGAGUACACGCCCUGGUAAUCCGUCUGGCCCUGCGGCCUUGUGAAUGUUGACCUGUUUAAAGGUCUUACAUCAGCUGCGGAGAGCGUGAUCACACAGUCUUCCAGAAUAGCUGGUGCUCUCAUGCAUGUAUCAGUGUUGCUUGCCUCGAAGCUAUUACACGGAUAGAAUCCAUGGAUAAUCUUACUUUAUUAUUCACCGUACAUUUGAAGCCUUCUGAACACUAAACAAGAAUGGUGUUCAUGGGAGGACACCAUAGAAGAAGCCACUGCUGUCCAAAAAAACAUGGCUGUACGUCUGAAGUUUGCAAAAGAGCACCUGGAUGUUCCACAGCUCUACUGACAAAAUAUUCUGUGGACAGAUGAAACUACAGUUGAGUUGUUUGGAAGGAACACAACACUAUGUGUGGGGAAAAAAAAGGCACAGCACACCAACAUCAACACCUCAUCCCAACUGUAAAGUAUGGUGGAGGGCGCAUCAUGGUUUGGGGCUGCUUUGCUGCCUCAGGGCCUGGACAGCUUGCUAUCAUCAGAUUAUCAAGACAUUUUGCAGGAGAAUGUAAGUCUAUCUGUCCGCCAAUUGAAGCUCAACAGAAGUUAGGUGAUGCAACAGGACAACAAACGCAAAAGACCAAAGUAAAUCAACAACAGAAUGGCUUGAACAGAAGAAAAUGUGCCUUAAGAAUUCCUCCACAGCAACAACUUCAGGAAGUGGUUGGUGGGAGUCGUUGCAGCUAAAGGUGGACUGAUCAUCUUCAGGAAGUGGUUGGUGGGAGUCAUUGUAGCUAAAGGUGGACUGAUCAACUACAGGAAGUGGUUGGUGGGAGUCAUUGUAGCUAAAGGUGGACUGAUCAACUACAGGAAGUGGUUGGUGGGAGUCAUUGUAGCUAAAGGUGGACUGAUCAACUUCAGGAAGUGGUUGGUGGGAGUAAAAGGUGGCAUAACCAGUUACUGAGUGUAAACGGGGAAAUUACUUUUUCACCCAGGGGCAUUUGGGUGUUGCAUAACUUUGUUCAUUAAAUAAUUAUGUUAUUGUUGUGUUAUUUGUUCAUUCAGGUUCCCUUUAUCUAAUAUUAGGAUUUGGUUGAAGAUCUGACAACAUUCAGUAUCAGAAAUAUGUAAAACUAGAGAAAAUCAGAAAGGGGGCAAAUACUUGUACAUCUGCUUUUGUAAACCAAGUUGACCCCGAUGGUACUUUUUU